rnacentral:rRNA from 1 species
UACGUAGGGUGCGAGCGUUGUCCGGAAUUAUUGGGCGUAAAGAGCUCGUAGGCGGUUUGUUGCGUCUAUCGUGAAAACCUGCAGCUUAACUGUGGGCUUGCGGUGGAUACGGGCAGACUUGAGUUCGGUAGGGGAGACUGGAAUUCCUGGUGUAGCGGUGAAAUGCGUUGAUAUCGUGAGGAACACCGGAGGCGAAAGCGGCUCACUGGGGCUUCACUGACGCUGAGGCACGAAAGCUAGGGGAGCAAACGGG